rnacentral:rRNA from 1 species
CAGCAGCCGCGGUAAUACAGAGGGUGCGAGCGUUAAUCGGAUUUACUGGGCGUAAAGCGUGCGUAGGCGGCUUUUUAAGUCGGAUGUGAAAUCCCUGAGCUUAACUUAGGAAUUGCAUUCGAUACUGGGAAGCUAGAGUAUGGGAGAGGAUGGUAGAAUUCCAGGUGUAGCGGUGAAAUGCGUAGAGAUCUGGAGGAAUACCGAUGGCGAAGGCAGCCAUCUGGCCUAAUACUGACGCUGAGGUACGAAAGCAUGGGGAGCAAACAGGAUUAGAGACCCCCGUAGUCCCUGUCUCUUAUAA